rnacentral:rRNA from 1 species
CAAUAGCGUAUAUUAAAGCUGUUGCGGUUAAAAAGCUCGUAGUUGGAUUUCUGUCAAGGACAACUGGUCCGCCCUCCGGGUGAGCACAUAGUUUGGUCUUGGCAUCUUGCUGGAAGCUGUUGCUGCACUUGGCUGUGUGGCGCAGCGUCCAGCACUUUCACUUUGAGGAAAUUGGAGUGUUUCAAGCAGGCACAUGCCUUUGGACACAGUAGCAUGGAAUAAUUAGAUUGGGCUUUUGCUCCAAUUUGUCGGUUUCUGGAGCUGAGGUGAGAAUUAAUGGGGAUUGUUGGGGGCAUCCGAAUUUAGCCGUCAGAGGUGAAAUUCUUGGAUCUGCUAAAGACGGACAACUGCGAAAGCGUUUGCCCAGGAUGUUUUCGUUGA